GAACGUGCUAAACAAUACCACAGGCAUACAACCAGACGUAUCCAGAAUGCAGGAAACUGUAUAGGACAAGUUACCUGGUUUCUUCAAAAAACAGCAAAUAGGAAAAAAGUAAGAGAGAGGGGUAACUCUAAAUUAAGAGACUUAAGAGAUAUCAACCAAAUUAAAUGUGUGGACCUUGUUUGGAUCAUGAUUUGAACUAGCUAUAAAAAGGUGAGAUAAUCAGGGAUAUUUAAAUACUGUACAUUUGAUGAUAUUAAGGAAUUAUUAUUAUUUUUCUAAUGUGUGAUAAUGUUAAAGAAAAAAAGAGUCCUAUUGAGAGAUACAUAACAAUCUGAUGCCUGGGAUUUGCUUCAAAAAUAAUGUAGAGGGCAGAGUGUGGAAUAAGGGAAGUAUAAAUCAAGAUUGACCACUUGCUGAUACUCAUGUGC